AGAUUCACCCAAGUAGACCCCUGAGUAUUGGGGUCCAGAAUUCUUAAAGAUGCAAACUUCAAGCCAACAACCAAAUUUAUCACUAAUCUUUAUGUUUUCCUUAAAUAUGCUGACAGCUUGUUUCAUCUUGACCUAUCACAUUACAUGGUCACAAUGAGAGCCUGAAGGUUUAGUAUUAAAUGUUUGGCUAAGGGCUAUUGCUAUGGCUACAGAACUAAGCGAAACCUGAGUAAAAUUGCCCUGCUAACUAUUUGUCCCAUCUACCUACAAGUAGACUUACAACACCAACAAAAAUUGAUAUAGUAGAAGAUUUUUGUCUUAAAGAAAGUUUUCAGUAAUGAGACAAUGCGGUGUAACAGUGAGCAGUAGUUGUUUUAGAACACAUAGGGCCAUGCUUCGCUUAAUGACCAUGAUACGUUCUGAGAAACGUGUCAUUAGGCGAUGUCUGCAUUGUGAGAACAGCAGUGUGUACUUACACAAACCCAGGUGACACAGUCUUCUACACACUUAGGCCAUAUGAUAUAGCCUAUUGCUCCUAGGCUGCAA
rnacentral:lncRNA from 10 species